AGAGCAGCCACCCCGCGAGGGGGAGCGAAUCUACAAAACCGGUCUCAGUUCGGAUCGCAGUCUGCAACUCGACUGCGUGAAGCUGGAAUCGCUAGUAAUCGCGCAUCAGCCAUGGCGCGGUGAAUACGUUCCCGGGCCUUGUACACACCGCCCGUCAAGCCAUGGAAGUCUGGGGGACCUGAAGACGGUAACCGCAAGGAGCCGUUAAGGGUAAAACAGGUAACUAGGGCUAAGUCGUAACAAGGUAAC
rnacentral:rRNA from 1 species